rnacentral:rRNA from 1 species
UACGAAGGGGGCUAGCGUUGCUCGGAAUGACUGGGCGUAAAGGGCGCGUAGGCGGAUGGCUUUGUCGGGCGUGAAAUUCCAGGGCUUAACCUUGGGGCUGCGUUCGAGACGGGUUGUCUUAAGUGGGGAAGAGGGUCGUGGAAUUCCCGGUGUAGCGGUGAAAUGCGCAGAUAUCGGGAAGAACACCCGUGGCUAAGGCGGCUCUCUAGUACGGUACUGACGCUGAGACGCGAAAGCGUGGGGAGCGAACAGG